ensembl:lncRNA
AGCAUUGCUGUGUGGGGAAAAGAAGAGGCAAUCAGGAGUUCUCUCCAGGCACUCUUGUGAGUUACAUAAGGGCUUCCUGUUGAAACCAUUUCUUGGCCCCGGGGCUUCUGUGAAGCCGGCGAGCUAUCCUGUAAGCUGGCACGAUGCCACUGUAACAGAUGGCCAGCAGUGCAGGCAGCAGAGACCAUGGAGGAGCAUCGCAAGUGAAUGCUGAGGGUAUAUACCUUACCACUGGACCGCCAGAAAAAUCCUGAGCAGAAUCUCUUUUACUUUAAAAUCUGCAUUCCUGGGUUAGCUAGUUUUAGAGAAGGGAGACGCGGGUUCAAUCCCUGGAUCAGGAGGAUCCCUUGGAGAAGUAAAGGCAACCCACUCCAGUAUCCUUGCCUGGGGAAUCUCAUGGACAGAGGAACCUGGCAUGCGGGGUCUUUGCUCCCCCAGCAGGGAUGGAACCUGUACCCCUCUGCACCGCCGCGUUGUAAGCAAGCGUGUCUACAUGCUCAGUUGUGUCCAACUCUUUGCGACCCGAUGGACUGUAGCCCUCCAGGCUCCUCCGUCUGUGGGAUUUUUCCAGACAAGAAUACUGGAGUGAGUUGCCAUUUCCUCCUCCAGGGGAUCUUCCCAAUCCAGGGAUAGACCCAGAGUCUCCUGUGUCUUCUGCAUUGGCAGGCGGAUUCUUUACCACUGAGCCACCUGAGAAGUUCCCCCUUGCACUGGAAGGCAAAGUAUUAACCACUGGAUGGCCAGCAAAGUCCCUUGCUUACUUGAUUUUAAUGAAAAGAUCUGAUCUUGGAGCUUGAAGGCAUGGAUUUGAACUCUAACUAUAUCCUUCCAGCUGCAUGACCCGUAACUUAGACUCUUGGAACUCACAUCCCACAUCUGUGGAAAAGGGGUAAUAACAAUACUCUUUCCUCCAGAAUGAACGAGAUAAUAUAUGUAGAAGGACUUUACAGAUCAACACUAAACCGUUUCUGCCACAUCCAACAUUAGUGCUUUGCACCAGUCUUAAGAAGUUCUUAACAAAAAAAUCCUCUGCAAACUCUAAUAACAAACUCUCCUAAGGCAAGAAGUGAAAAUAUUAGGAUUUGGCAUAUCACCUUGGAAAGAUAGCCAACUCUGCACUGGAUCAUCUUUGGAAACCAGUGAGAACUGCUCUUUUAUUGUUUGCUAAAUUUAGAUAUGCAAGACACAUGAAAUUGAAGGUUCUGUAAACCUAGUGUUUGUAAAUUAUUUUAAAAUAAGUUUCCUAGACUUUUAAGCCACUCUGAAUAUUUAAGCCUGACAAUAUGUUUGAUACAACGUAUAAUGAGUACAGAAAUUACAAACUACGGGCUGUCUCACACGUUCAUGUUGGUCUGAAAUAGCCUUUAGAAACAAGUAAAAACCAGACAUGAGAACAUAAGAAAAAGUCAGACACAGCAGUGUCUAUCUUGAGUGAAGUCUUGGUAUUAAAAUUUUAGAUGAAUGGAACUAAAAACCUUAGAGAAUUCUGUCAGUUGGAAUGUAAAAGUAUUUCCCAAAAUUUAUUUAUCUCAUACUCUAGCCUUAUAUCUGUUCUAUAAAAUAGAGAGCUCACAAUAUUGAUGUUUUAUAUAAAAGAAGAAUGUUACUUUUAAGAAUAUUACUCUUUUUACUUUGUGGGAAGAUUUCAGAUUGUGGUCAUCAAGGGAGUUGUUCCUGGAAGAUGUUCAAUGAGUGAGAAAGUCUGACACCACCAAGUAUAAUUAGAGAUGUUAAGAGUUGGAAUUUUUCUCUAAUUUAUGUGUUUUUAAAAAAUUUUUUGAAUGUUGGUCUUCAGUCAAAAGUGCAUUUGAAAUGCACUCUAAGCUAAAGUGGUUUAAAAGGUUUUAAAAUUUGAUGCUGGGAAAGAUUGAAGGCAAAAGGAGAAGAGAGCAGCAGAGGAUGAGAUGGUUGAAUGACAUCACAGACUCAAUGGUCAUGAAUUUGAGCAAAUUACAGGAGAGAGUGAAGGACAGGGAAGCCUGGUGUGCUGCAGUCCAUGGGGCUGCAAAGAGUUGGACACGACUGAGUGACUGAACAACCACAACAGUAGCAAUGUUAUAAAUACCUCUGGUGCGGAUGUGACUAAUACCUUUUGCUCUGCUGCACUGAGUCAAAAUUCUCCCUCGUAAUAACAGUGCGUUGCUUCAAGCUGGCUAAGGAACAGUUGAAACUCUUUGAAGAGCUUGUGUGAUGUUUGGAACUUACUCCACCUAAGAUCUGUAGAUUUCUGGAAGCCCUGUCCCCUGUUCAAAAUGGUCAAAAGGAAGCAAGAGAAUCACCAAGUUGACCAUGGUCUGGGCAACUCCGAGGAGUCUUCAAAUAUUUAUAUUGCAUCUAUGCUUCAGCUAGGAGGAGGGCAGGAGGAGAAGGGGGCGGCAGAGGAUGAGAUGGUUGGAUGGCAUCAUUAACUCAAUGGACAUGAAUUUUAGCAAACUUUGGGAGAUAGUGAAAGACAGGGAAGCCUGGCAUCCAUGGGGUACAAAGAGUUGAACAUGACUUAGCGACUGAACAGCAAGAAAUAGUGGAAGAUGAAAUGCUGCAGUCAGGAGUUAACAAAUUUUUUUCUAUAAAAGGCUAGAGAGUAACUAUUUUUGCUUUCAAAGGCCAUAUGAUUUCUGUUAUAACUGCUCAGUCCUGUCAUUAUAGUGUGGAAGCAGCCACAGUCGGUAUGUAAACAGACAAGCAUAUCUGUGUUCCAAUAAAACCUGCUAAAAAGAGGCAAGAGGGCAGAUUUGGACCGAGGGUUAUAAUUUGCUCACACACACCUGUUCUAGUGGUAGCUUUAUCACUGCUUAACGUUUUUAAACUUUCUUUUCCCCAUGGAGAGGAUUGGGACCAACACAGACAAUCAUAGAGAGAUUAAUAACCAUUAAAAUUCAAGACAAGGGCUCAGACAUAUCGCUGUAGCAGAAAAAGCUUCUUUGGGAGAGAGUGAGUGGUUUCCUUUCUAAUCCUACAGACUUUAUUCAGAGCAAAUAAAUAGCUGAGGUGAGAAUUUAAACUCUGAAGACAAUGUGACCCUCUCCUUCUUGGAUGAGUCUCAGAGCCCAUCCUCUGAAUGUAAUUAUUGAGAGUUCACAGUCUAUGGAUGCAUUGUCUAUGAACUAAACAGAAACUAGCUUCCAGGAAAAAUGUGGUCAGAUUCUAAGACUGAGGCAUCAAAAUGCCAAGUAGCUGAUGACUCACAUUAAAAGUAUCACUUUCUUUUCCCAUGGCUUAAAUUUAACCAUUUUCCUGCUUGUUUCCACAUCUAGAGAAGGACAGAAAAAGAGAUCAGACAGCUAAAACAAACAUUUGAGGAUGACCUUGGAAAACUAGAGAGUGGCAAAAAUUCUUUUUUUUUUUUUAAAGACAGGUAAUAGAUAGUUUGAGAUAAUCUGAAUCUAGGCAAAAAUUCUAAAUAAAUGGAAUGAUCUUUGUCACGUGAUG